rnacentral:tRNA from 1 species
ACACACCGCCCGUCACACCAUGGGAGUUGGUUUUACCUGAAGACGGUGCGCUAACCGAAAGGGGGCAGCCGGCCACGGUAGGGUCAGCGACUGGGGUGAAGUCGUAACAAGGUAGCCGUAGGGGAACCUGCGGCUGGAUCACCUCCUUUCUAAGGAUGAUCCUUCAGAUCAGCUCACGCUAUCUAUCGGAUCGUUUUAGAAACAUUCAGGGGCCAAUCGAUCGCAAGAUCAUUGAGCUCCAUUGGCGGGAUUUCGCCGUCUUCGUUUCUCUUUCUUCGCGGACGAACACGCGCCAGGGGCUUAGCGCUGUGCGGUUGCAUUCGGCGCUGGUCGCCGGCUUGCGCGCACGCAAGAUCCCUAGUCCUAUGAAGGAUAGCGUUAGGGGCUUGUAGCUCAGUUGGUUAGAGCGCGCGCUUGAUAAGCGUGAGGUCGGAAGUUCAAGUCUUCCCAGGCCCACCAGCCUUCGCUCGCGCUAGCGAGCGCAAGGCUGCCGCGCCGAAGCCCAACGGGCGAAGGCGGGCCAGUCAGCGCGAGCUUCGGCUCGGCAAGCCACAAAGUACGAACAUCGCGCUUCGUCUUCUGGUUACGGGGCCAUAGCUCAGCUGGGAGAGCGCGUGCUUUGCAAGCAUGAGGUCGUCGGUUCGAUCCCGUCUGGCUCCACCAGAUGGUUUGAUCACCAACGGCGUAACCGUCGUCCGCGAAACAUCACUUCGCACUCAUUGGUCCGGAUGGACGGUGACGUGCGUGUUUUCUGACAUCGUAAAGAGGAGAUCGAUCCGAGUUUGGAUCAAGCGAAGCAAUUCGCCUGAACCAUUCACUAUCUCCGGGAUCAUUUCGGCGCUCGCUUUCAGUCGUGAGAUUGAGUGCGGGUUGUAAAUGAUCUCUGUUAGCGAAGCUUGACCGCCUCGCUAUCGGGCCGAUCUUACGAAGCAAGCUGGUCUUUCUAGUCGCCGUAGGGGAACCUGCGGCUGGAUCACCUCCUUUCUAAGGAUGAUCCUUCAGCGAGCUCACGCUCACUAUCGGAUCGUUUUAGAAACAUCAGUGGCCAACAGAUCGCCAGAUCGUUGAGCUGCAUUGGCGGGAUUUCGCCGUCUUCGUUUCUCUUUCUUCGCGGACGAACACGCGCUGGGCCUGCAACGGCAGGAUCCGGGGUCCUUAACGGGAUAUGCGUUAGGGGCUUGUAGCUCAGUUGGUUAGAGCGCGCGCUUGAUAAGCGUGAGGUCGGAAGUUCAAGUCUUCCCAGGCCCACCACUUUCAUCGAGUGAGCAUUCGUCUUCUGGUUACGGGGCCAUAGCUCAGCUGGGAGAGCGCGUGCUUUGCAAGCAUGAGGUCGUCGGUUCGAUCCCGUCUGGCUCCACCAGAUGGUUUGAUCGCCGAGGUCAUGCACCGUCGUCCGCGAAACAUCACUUCGCAUUCACUAGUCUGGAUAGACAGUGAACUGCGUGUUUUCUGACAUCGUAAAGAGGAGAUCGAUCCGAGUUGGGUCGUGCAGCAUAUCGUUGCGCGAGCCUUCAUUAUCUCCGGAUCAUUUUCGGCGCUCGCGUCCGACCGCAAGGUUGGCUGCGAGUUGUAAAAUGAUCCUUUUAGCGAAGCUUGACCGCCUCGCUAUCGGAACGAUCUUACGAAGCAAGCUGGUCUUUCUAGUCAAUGUCCGGCUGUACGUAGCAUUCAUCGAGGGUGCGCGCCGCAAGGCAAUCGUACAGACAACAUUCUGCCGAGUGUGUGGACAUUGAUAAUGAGAGCAAUCAAGUGCCUUAAGGGUGUUC